GCCAGUUGGAGAGAGGGCCAUGAAUGUUCACGUGGGGACGAGGAAAUAGAACUGAGAACUAUUUGUAAGAGAGAAACAUUUCAACUCAAUGACUGAUUAGUUGGGAUGGAAAGAGAAAUGACCUCUGGGUUUCUGGCUAGACUCUAGAGUUACCAGUUGGGACAGGGAGUGGUUUGGGAGGAAAUAUGAAGCAUUCAUUUUUUAACACAUUGAUUUGAAGGAAACUGUCUAAGACAGCAGCCAGAUGGAGAUGUUCAAGCUUUCUCCACCACUCCAUUAAUUUCCAUUUGUGUUCAUUUGCUCCCAUUAUUUUUCUCAGCCUGGAAUACAGCCACCUCUGUUCUACUACUGACCAAACUUGAGCCAUCUUUCUGGGCCCAGGUGAGUCCCCACCCUUCCAAGAAGCAUCUUUACCCAUGUCUUUCCUCUGCCCUCCAGUAGCACCUGUUAUCAGUAUUAUAUUUAGAGCAAAAACUCGAAGUAACUCAUGUUGCUUCUCCACUUAUUGUGUCUCACAGGUGAAAUUCACCUAUCUAUCACUCAGAGAAUAGUCAGUGUGCACCAUCCACAUACGCUGUGCUGGGCAGUAGGUACACGGAUGACUCAGGCCUGGUCCUGGCCCUCAGAGAGCUGGCUGUCCACUGGAAAAGGAGACAACACCACACGAGGCUGGUGAGUCUUUCUAUCGUAAGAUGGGGUGGAAGAAACAUAGCUGUGACUCAUCCCAUGCUGAAAAUGUGAAGAUUCCAAGACAAGAAGAGGCUGUGGGAAGCCCCAUAGCACAGCAAGAAAAGACAGGCCAAAACUUUGGGAGUGAGAAGAGAGGAGAGCCUGCUGCCCGGAAGAGAGAAAAGAGGGUAUAUAUUGAGAGAGAGUGAAGGGGAUCCACAUAGUACACUUUUGAUCACUCAAGGAGCAUUCACAGGGGGAUACCCUUAGAAGCAGUAGGGCUCCACACCUGCAUAUAGGGCAAGAAGAACAAUGAGGCAGAGACUGCAUCUGACUUCCCACCCCUCACCACAACUCUCUGAAGUCUAACACUGAGAACUUCCUUCAAGUUGUGGGUAUGUGUCCCCUUGGACCAACCACCCACAUCGUGAUAACUAGGUUAUACCUAAGACAUUUUUAGUGAGGACUUUAGGAAGCCCUGGGAAGGUAUCUCUUUUGUUAAGAGAGGAAUCCAGAGAGAUUUGGCAGAUGUGCUGUAAUGAAGUACAUGCACUGAGCAGAUGCUCCAAGGUCACCUACUUGUCCUGCAGAGUCAUAUGGCUCUAUUUUGGGUUUAGAAGGUGGAAACAUUAAUAUCAUGUCAUUUGUAUCUACUGUUAUGUAACAAAUUAAAAAAUGGGACCGAACUCUAUGCUAUCUACAAGAAAUUCACUUCAAAUAUAAUGAUAUAGUCAGAUUGAAAGUAGAGGGAUGGAAUAAGAUAUAUCAUGCAAAUGCUAAUCAAAAGAAACCAAAUGUGCCUAUAUUAAUAUCAGAUAAAGUAUAUGUCAGAACAAAGAAAAUUACCAGAGAAAGAGUGGAACAUUAUGUAGCGAUGAAAGGGUCAAUCCACCAAGAAGACAUAGCAAUCCUAAAUGUGUACGCACCGAACGAC
rnacentral:lncRNA from 1 species